rnacentral:rRNA from 1 species
AUCUACACUUAUUUAUAGAUCCUCUGCAAAAAAUAUGAUAUGGAGCAUCAGACUGUCGGCAGGAACUUCUCAUCUUGAGCAGCAGCCGGCUUGGAUUCCUCGUUCGUCUUCCGGAAGACGAGCUUCUGCUGCGGGAGCUUGCCAUUGGACGGCACCGUAACCUGAGUGUCGACGGAGAUGCUGUCCUCAUCCUUGAACUCGCCUCUGAGGAUACCCUUGGCGAGUUCAUUCUCCACAUACUGCUGA